GUUCUGAAUCGGAAGAUCCUUGCAAGGUUGCUGAAAAAGGGCGUGUGGCAAGAUGAGGUGUGCAGGCGUUCUUCUGGCGCUUCUGCUUUCCUUGUCUGCACUAUCUGCAUCCACUGCUGAAGCGCACAAGGAACGCUUGGGCGAGGGCGGCAAUGCGGAUUUGUUAACCGGUCGGAAAUGGUUGAGAGGCCGGAAGAUAAUGGCAGCUCCGGGAAAUGGAGAUGCCAAGAAGGAUGAGGUAACGAAAGGAAAGGGAGCCAAGAGCACAGGCGCAAACACUGUCCAUGUCCAUGGAGAGGAGAAAACUGUAGAGGUUACCGUUGUCGGGUUAAGUGGUGGGAGAGCUGGACGUAGGAGCGGCGGCAAGUGCAAAUUUGCCGGCCUCGUGCCGUUCAGUGCCGAUUACCGCACUCCGAGAACUCACCCACCAAGGAAUAACUGAAAAGGAAAAGGCAAAUACUUUUUUCUUGGUUCUAGCCUAUGAUAUCUUCCGAUCGAUCACCUAAACUUGGGCUACUCAUUGCCUAGUGAAGUUAAUCACUGCUUUUCUUACUGCAAAUCACCGGUAGGUGUAGUAUGAACCUUGAGGUUUGAAUUAUGGAAUGAAAUGUGCCAUUUUUGUUGCUGCAGGAGUGAAUCAGGAAGCAGACGCAUCUGCUGAAGUUGUACAUGAAGAGGGUAAAAAGAGCAGGGGAUCAGCAACUCAUGUAAUGUUUCAAGAACCAAGGCAUGGCGACGCGGCCGCCGUGGCGCCUGAGAUGCUCGACAUGGACUACAACUACAAGCUGGAUGCUCGUCGCCACCGGCCGAUCAACAACGACGCUCCGUUAGAUGAGCUCGCCAAGAAGCUGUAGAGAUUUUGACUUGGGCGGCUCCUGGGGCAUGAGAGAAGCUGACUCCUCUUGCUCUGUAGAUACAUUUAACCACAGUAGCCAUUAGCAAAUGGUUAGGUCAGCUAGUUAGGAACUCGCUCUCCAAGCCACAAGUAGCCCAUGCUUGGUACUCAUGGAACAACCUGUGGUCACUGGCAUGGGCGAUUUUGGUUGUAAUGUGCGCAUGGAGAGCAUCUGUAAUCUGUCAGCAGCAUUUCUGAAGUUGCAGAGA